rnacentral:misc_RNA from 1 species
UACCCUUGACAUGUCAGGGACGGGGCAGAGAUGCCCUGGUGCCCGAAAGGGAACCUGAACACAGGUGCUGCAUGGCUGUCGUCAGCUCGUGUCGUGAGAUGUUGGGUUAAGUCCCGCAACGAGCGCAACCCUUGCCAUUAGUUGCUACAUUCAGUUGGGCACUCUAAUGGGACUGCCGGUGACAAACCGGAGGAAGGUGGGGAUGACGUUACGGCAUUAGCCA